rnacentral:rRNA from 1 species
GUCUACGCCCCUACCACCCUGAACGCGCCCGAUCUCCUCUGAUCUUGGAAGCUAAGCAGGGUCGGGCCUGGUUAGUACUUGGAUGGCAGAUU